rnacentral:rRNA from 1 species
CAACCUGCCGAUAACUCGGGGAUAGCCUUUCGAAAGAAAGAUUAAUAUCCGAUAGUAUAUUAAAACCGCAUGGUUUUACUAUUAAAGAAUUUCGGUUAUCGAUGGGGAUGCGUUCCAUUAGUUUGUUGGCGGGGUAACGGCCCACCAAGACUACGAUGGAUAGGGGUUCUGAGAGGAAGGUCCCCCACAUUGGAACUGAGACACGGUCCAAACUCCUACGGGAGGCAGCAGUGAGGAAUAUUGGUCAAUGGGCGAGAGCCUGAACCAGCCAAGUAGCGUGAGGGAUGAAGGCUCUAUGGGUCGUAAACCUCUUUUAUAUGGGAAUAAAGUUUUCCACGUGUGGAAUUUUGUAUGUACCAUAUGAAUAAGGAUCGGCUAACUCCGUGCCAGCAGCCGCGGUAAUACGGAGGAUCCGAGCGUUAUCCGGAUUUAUUGGGUUUAAAGGGAGCGUAGGCGGAUUGUUAAGUCAGUUGUGAAAGUUUGCGGCUCAACCGUAAAAUUGCAGUUGAAACUGGCAGUCUUGAGUACAGUAGAGGUGGGCGGAAUUCGUGGUGUAGCGGUGAAAUGCUUAGAUAUCACGAAGAACUCCGAUUG